GGAGACAUGCUGGACGUCCACCUCCGACUAUUUUGUGAGAGGUUGAAAAGGGUGUUAGCAGGUAAAGAAGGCGCGUUGCCGUUGCCUGAUUCAACAAAUUUAACCCCGCUUUUUGAAAACCUUCUUACGGAGACUGAAAUUAUUACUACUCUGCUCGGGAACUACGAAGGCGACAUGGCUCGUCAUUUGAUUCAACUCAUUGGAGACGAAUUCGAUGAAGACGAACUGCCUUUGCCUUUCCGGCAAUUCUUGGACGUAGAUGAAGUUAGAAUUUGAAGAUCAAAGGAAGAAGAUGAAGAUCUGAUUGUAUUUUGAUUAUCACAAAAACUAACUACAGUAAUGAGCUUAGCUCAGUAUUUAUAGUAGAAUCUAAUGCUUGCUAAUCACGCCAAUUACAGCUAAGUAAUCUAACUUCUAAAUAACAAAUGCUAAUGUAACUAACUUCAACACAAUUAACAGGAGCUGAUUUGUUAACUAAUUUCAGCCUGAUCCAACUGCAUGGGAAUCUCUUCAUAACAGUUUUGCCAUCUGGAAUUUAGCAGCUUCUCACGUGCACCUUUCACUUUCACUCCUAGACUAGCUACUGGAUUUACAGCUGGCUUGAUUCCAGCUGGCACUCCAACGUGUGUUGCAUGAGGUUCAGCUUCAUCAACUAAUUCAACACCCCUUCUCAAACUUAAGUCUUUUGGGAAGACUUUAAGUUUGCUUCUGAAGAAGUUGAACUUGGGAUAAGUUAGGGGUUUAGUUAAUAUAUUAGCAACUUGAUCAUUUGUAGACACAAACACAAUUUCAACUUCUUUCCUCUCAACUUUCUGCUGUACGGCCAAGGCGGAUGUACGGUACAGCAGAUCGUAAAACCUUCUAAGAUUCAAAUUUGAAUUUGUUAUGGAUGGUGGAAGGAAAAAUAAUUCGAUAUUAAAAAAAUUUAAAAAAAAAAGACAAACCAGAACAAGUUACUUUAGUUGUUACUUUACUUGAAAUACUUUUAAUCAAACACUUAGUUUACUUGAAAUACUUUUCCAGCAAACAAUAAUGAUCAUAGCCCACGAAUAGAAACAAUUACAAGAAAGUCAAUAAAGCAACAAAAGACAAACCAGACUAGGAAACAAAGAAAUUCAACUAAACAAUCAUUAGGUACAAACUGCAAUUGCAUUUAGCCUCACAAUCUCAAAUUUGCUACGUGCUUUGAUAUUUCCUGUACUAUUCUUUUGGCCCAUCCCAAAGAAAUCGGAUAAGACAUAUACAAUUGCAACACUUUCUCCCUUCUUUUUUCUGUAAUUUGUAUGGCGACUUACGUAUAUAUAACCUAAUUAUUGAUGAUGGAUUAGAAAAUCAUUAGGCUUAUUAAUUAUACGCGUCAAAAGAAUGGUCGGGCAAUAAUUAGGUGUCCUGCUUAUACUCCUGUAAUUUAGUCAUUCUCUAGUAAAUAUUAUUAAAUAAAAAGAAACACAAACAAUUAAGCUUAUUGGUAACUGAAUUGGUGCCCAAAAAUAACAAGAGCAGGAGAAAGCAAACACACCCAAGAAUUUGACAAACUUCAACUUGAAAUCCAGAAUUUGACAAACUUCCCUUUGUUUACUGAAGCAUAGUAUUUCAUAACGGAGGCAUGCAUUUUAUUAUUUAAUAUCUUGUAGAACUGGAAACUCAAAUCAAACAGGGGCUGUGCAUGUCUACAAAAAGCAACUACAAAAAUAAAAACUACAAUAAAAACAAUGGUUACAAGCAAAUAAAUCACGCAUGACCCAUCACCCAUCAAUUUAUUCUAACGAAAGCCCCAACAUUUUAUGAAUGAAAAGGAAGAAAAUGAAAAAUUGCUUGUAAUAGAGUAAAGGAGCACUAAAAAACGAACAACAGGUAGAGGAAAACGCACCACUGACAGAGGCGUAUGAGAGUGGCCGGUGUCGGAAUCGCACCGAUGAGAAUUUCAGUGACAGAAUCGCAUCAAUUGGAACUCCCACAGUCGGAAUCGUGCUGAUGAGAAUGGGUGUUUAGGGUUUGUUUAAAAAAAAAAUCGAUUUGAAAUAGAACUCCCACUGACACGACUGUUUGAUAAAAUGAAAAUGGAAUAAUAUAUAAGGCUAAUUUAGUAAUUAAACUUGUAGCUGGGAAAAAAAAUAUGCCAAGUUGUCAAAACACAGCUAUAAGUGUUACCAAACACUUUGGUGGCUGGGCUUUGGCAGCCCAGCCACCUCACCACACUCCCAAACGGGCCCUAAGUGAGAGAAGGAGACAUGCUGGACGUCCACCUCCGACUAUUUUGUGAGAGGUUGAAAAGGGUGUUAGCAGGUAAAGAAGGCGCGUUGCCGUUGCCUGAUUCAACAAAUUUAACCCCGCUUUUUGAAAACCUUCUUACGGAGACUGAAAUUAUUACUACUCUGCUCGGGAACUACGAAGGCGACAUGGCUCGUCAUUUGAUUCAACUCAUUGGAGACGAAUUCGAUGAAGACGAACUGCCUUU
rnacentral:lncRNA from 1 species